GUAAUAUAACCCAUAAUAAUAUAUCUGUAUACCCAUAAACUAUCUGUAUUUCUUCAGGUUCAGAGUGCAACAUGCUGUUAUAUCCAUACGUUUCAAAUUGCCAAGCUCAUUGCUUCUGCUGCCUAGUGAUAUUUUGCUAUUCACCUCUAGAGUCUGAACAAUGAAAUGUGAUGUUGUUUGCACUCCGGGCUACUUCAAAUACACAAAAUGCAUGCUUGGUCGGUUGGGAUUGGGAUUUUGUGUACUUUAUGAAGAGUUUGAAGGGAAAUCUGCUCAGACGUUGGAUGGCCUCCCUCUAGUGGCUGCUACUGUGGAACUAAAACAGGGCUGUGAGCUACCUACCCAAGGUUGUGCUUGCAUCAACCACUGUAUGCCAUGAAAGAAGAAAUAAUGGAGAAAAAUGCUCACAUUACCAUGACAACCUUCAUGGCUCUCUUCCAUAUCAAUCCACUUCACUGCUUCCACCUUCCCAUCAUGUGUUGGCCAUGGAUCCUGGGACAUCUGAAACUAGGUAACAGAAAAUCAAAUAGUUAGUCCUUUUAAGAGCUUUGAGCUCAGGUUCAUCUCCACUCUCUGGGACCUUUCUCCGAAGAACUGGGGUAAAAGGCUUUGGAAUACACAUCAACAGAUGUCUGGCUGCUAACAUGGUUGUCAAGUUUCUUCACUGAGAGAAGCUUUCAUGACACAGACAAGAUGUCAACCCAAAAGACCUAAAGAUUUAAUUUAAGAAAUAAAAUCCCUCUUCUGCAACAGCCUCAGUAUGAUACUGCACAUCAUCAUUCAUCCUCCCAACCAGCACUGCCCUCCAAGUGUUAUUUGAACACUGGGCCCUAACCAUAGUACAGUAAAUUCACGAAUACAAGCCGCACUGAGUAUAAGCCGCAUCUCUGGGUGUCGGCAAAUAUUUCGGGUUUUGUCCAUACACAAGCCGCACCUGAAUAUAAGCCGCUCUGUCAUUCGCAGCGAGGACCCGCAUGCAACAAAGUUGCCAAAUACUAACAGAACGGUGGCAUGGCGGGGUUUACUGGCUCAACUAAGGCUGUGCAGGCUCGGCCCGCUAGGGGCUGCUGACGGGGCCAGGUGGCCCAGCCCGGCGCUGC
rnacentral:lncRNA from 1 species